rnacentral:rRNA from 1 species
ACGCUGGCGGCAGGCCUAAUACAUGCAAGUCGAACGGUAACAUAAGAAAGCUUGCUUUCUUGAUGACGAGUGGCGGACGGGUGAGUAAUAUUUGGGAAGCUACCUGAUAGAGGGGGACAACAGUUGGAAACGACUGCUAAUACCGCAUAUAGCCUAAGGGUGAAAGCAGCGAUGCGCUAUCAGAUGCGCCCAAACGGGAUUAGCUAGUAGGUGAGGUAAAGGCUCACCUAGGCGACGAUCUCUAGCUGGUCUGAGAGGAUGAUCAGCCACAUUGGGACUGAGACACGGCCCAGACUCCUACGGGAGGCAGCAGUAGGGAAUAUUGCACAAUGGAGGAAACUCUGAUGCAGCCAUGCCGCGUGUGUGAAGAAGGCCUUCGGGUUGUAAAGCACUUUCGGAGGGGAGGAACAAAUGACGUUACCCUCAGAAGAAGCACCGGCUAACUCCGUG